CGGCGUUAAGCGCCGAAAGCCGACGGCCCAUAGGUCUCAGAAAACACCGUAUGACACGGAUGUUGGAACAGAGCAAGGCGGGAACGAGGAGUUGAAGAAGUCUUAGUGUUUGAAUAAGUUCGUGUUUUGAUUUAUUAGUCAAUAAAGACCGAGUAUUUACGGUCUAGUAGUUGCAGUAGUUGUUUGUGAUUUUAUUUAUGGAGUAAGUUUAGGAGCGUUCUGUUGCUUGUAAAAGGCUAAUAUUAAGCCAACGAUUUCAUUGAAUAAAGUACAAGUUUUCAGAAUCCAAAUCUUGAACUUAUUAAAACGGAGCCAUGACUCCUGUGACGAACUCUGGACUUGGGGUGGGAGAAGACAGAGGCAGUGGCUGGUUCUGGAAUUUGGUGGAUCCGGCGCAGAGGGUUAUUACAGAGAGAGCUGGGAGGUUCUUCGGCUCUUUUUCGAGAGACGCAAGAGGAACUUGCAAGAGGUGAUUCAGGAGGCCAUAGAAGAAAGAGAAAGACUCAGGAAGGACAGACACAGAGCCAAAGCAUUUACAGAUGUUGUACAAACUUUGAAGGAGGAAACUUUUACAAGAUCUGAGGUUGAUCAGUUAAUUACCUUGCUGCGUUCAAAAGCUGCUGAUCCAUCUACUGCAGAUGGAGGGGAUCAGAGAAACGAAGUGAGUAUUGUGUGAGACAUCCGCCAUCGAUCACAAGAGAGGAAUAGGGCGUUCUUGAUCUUUUGUUGAGCAUUUUUGUUCUUGUUUUGCAACACUGACAAAUAUCCUAGACCUUUUUUUUAAGGAAGAGCACUCCUAGGAAGCCCUUUUCAUUAC